rnacentral:rRNA from 1 species
AUUGAACGCUGGCGGUAUGCUUUACACAUGCAAGUCGAACGGCAGCACGGGAGCAAUCCUGGUGGCGAGUGGCGAACGGGUGAGUAAUAUAUCGGAACGUGUCCAGUAGUGGGGGAUAGCCCGGCGAAAGCCGGAUUAAUACCGCAUACGACCUACGGGUGAAAGCGGGGGAUCGCAAGACCUCGCGCUAUUGGAGCGGCCGAUAUCAGAUUAGGUAGUUGGUGGGGUAAAAGCCUACCAAGCCUGCGAUCUGUAGCUGGUCUGAGAGGACGACCAGCCACACUGGGACUGAGACACGGCCCAGACUCCUACGGGAGGCAGCAGUGGGGAAUUUUGGACAAUGGGGGCAACCCUGAUCCAGCCAUACGCGUGCAGGAAGAAGGCCUUCGGGUUGUAAACUGCUUUUGUCAGAGAAGAAAUCUUUUGGGCUAAUACCUCGGAAGGAUGACGGUAUCUGAAGAAUAAGCACCGGCUAACUACGUGCCAGCCGCCGCAGUAAUAC